rnacentral:lncRNA from 1 species
AACAUUAAUAAACAGACAUCCAUUUACAAAAUAGCAUAAGAACAAUACAAAAUAGCAUAAGAACAACACUGAAUUGCAGACAAAGUGGUAGGAAAUUAACAAUGGUUGUUGUCAGAAUUCAUGUGUCUUGACAAGAGCUGUGGUUCUCUGCUUCUAGAUAUUGUGGCAAAUGAUUUUUGUCAUUUUUGUCUAACUUUAUUUCUCUUCCCCUACCUCCUCCCCUUUCUAAAAAAAAAAAAAAAAAAAAAAAAAAAAAAAAAAAAAAAAAAAAAAAAAAAAAAAAAAAAAACCACAGAACAAAAGAAGAAAAAUGGAAAUGUUAUUAUUAAAUGCUGUGUGAAAAGAAUUGAAGCCCAGAUUGCUCAGUUGUC